rnacentral:rRNA from 1 species
ACGAACGCUGGCGGCGUGCUUCACACAUGCAAGUCGCACGGAAAGGCCCUGCUUUUGUGGGGUGCUCGAGUGGCGAACGGGUGAGUAACACGUGAGUAACCUGCCCUUGACUUUGGGAUAACUUCAGGAAACUGGGGCUAAUACCGGAUAGGAGCUCCUGCUGCAUGGUGGGGGUUGGAAAGUUUCGGUGGUUGGGGAUGGACUCGCGGCUUAUCAGCUUGUUGGUGGGGUAGUGGCUUACCAAGGCUUUGACGGGUAGCCGGCCUGAGAGGGUGACCGGCCACAUUGGGACUGAGAUACGGCCCAGACUCCUACGGGAGGCAGCAGUGGGGAAUAUUGCACAAUGGGCGGAAGCCUGAUGCAGCAACGCCGCGUGCGGGAUGACGGCCUUCGGGUUGUAAACCGCUUUCGCCUGUGACGAAGCGUGAGUGACGGUAAUGGGUAAAGAAGCACCGGCUAACUACGUG